rnacentral:rRNA from 1 species
GAACGCUAGCGGCAGGCCUAAUACAUGCAAGACUAGGGGGCAGCAAUGUCACCGUCGCACGGGUGCGUAACGCGUAUGCAACCUACCUAUCACAGGGGGAUAGCCUUUGGAAACAGGGAUUAAUACCGCAUAAAGCAGGGGCUCCGCAUGGAGAUAUUGCUAAAGAUUUAUCGGUGAUAGAUGGGCAUGCGUCUGAUUAGUUAGAUGGUGGGGUAACGGCCUACCAUGGCGAUGAUCAGUAGGGGGCGUCAGAGCGUGGUCCCCCACACUGGCACUGAGAUACGGGCCAGACUCCUACGGGAGGCAGCAGUAGGGAAUAUUGGGCAAUGGAUGCAAGUCUGACCCAGCCAUGCCGCGUGCAGGAUGACGGUCCUAUGGAUUGUAAACUGCUUUUGUACAGGAAGAAACACUCCCUCGUGAGGGAGCUUGACGGUACUGUAAGAAUAAGGAUCGGCUAACUCCGUG